rnacentral:rRNA from 1 species
GAUGAACGCUAGCGGCAGGCUUAAUACAUGCAAGUUGAGGGGCAGCAUGAUAUACGCGAGUAUAUUGAUGGCGACCGGCGGACGGGUGAGUAAUAGGUAGGAGACCUACCUCAUACAGGGGGAUAGCAUAGAGAAAUCUGUGGUAAUACCCCAUGAGGUUAUAUGAAUAGAGGCAUAUAAUCAAAGCAUAAGCGAUUAUGCGGUAUGAGAGGGGCCUACUGACCAUUAGCUAGUUGGUGAGGUAAGGGCUCACCAAGGCGAAGAUGGUUAGGGGUUUUGAGAGAGAGACCCCCCACAUUGGAACUGAGAGACGGUCCAGACUCCUACGGGAGGCAGCAGUAGGGAAUAUCGGGCAAUGGGCGAAAGCCUGACCCAGCCAUGCCGCGUGAAGGAAGACGGCCUUAUGGGUUGUAAACUUCUUUACUACGCGAAUAGAGGUUAGUACGAGAUACUAAUAGGAAGGUAGUGUAGUAAAAAGCACCGGCUAACUCCGUG